CCUCCCCUCCCUCCUCUUCCUCCCCUUUUCCCGCCGUUCCGCCCCCGCCGGAAGUGGCGCCGCGCGCGGUGACGUCACGGCGCCUCUCCCCGCCAUGAUCCGCGCGGGGGCGGCCGCCCUGAGGGCCUGGAGCAGGGGCCGGGGCUGGGCGGCGCUCUCGACGGAGCCCCCGGCCCCGCCCGCGGCCCCCGAGCCCUGCAAGGGGACCAUCCUGGGGACACCUUGGGGACAUCAGGGACCAUUCUGGGGACAUCAGGGACCAUCCUGGGGACAUCAGGGACCACCCUGGGGACA